rnacentral:rRNA from 1 species
CCAUGCAUGUCUAAGUAUAAGCGACUUAUACGGCGAAAACUGCGAAUGGCUCAUUAAAUCAGUUAUUGUUUACUUGAUCAGUAUCUUUUGAUUACUUGGAUAACCGUAGUAAUUCUAGAGCUAAUACAUGCGCAAAAGGCCCGACUUCGCGGAAGGGCUGCACUUAUUAGAUGCAAAUCAACACGGCGGGUCCCCCCGUCGGUUAUGUUGGUGAUUCUGGAUAAUUAAGCGAAUCGCACGGUCUUGUACUGGCGAUGGAUCGAUCAAGUUUCUGCCCUAUCAACUUUGGAUGGUAGUGUAUUGGACUACCAUGGUUAUUACGGGUGACGGAGAAUUAGGGUUCGGUUCCGGAGAGGGAGCCUGAGAGACGGCUACCACUUCCAAGGAAGGCAGCAGGCGCGCAAAUUACCCAAUCCCAAUACGGGGAGGUAGUGACAAUAAAUAACAAUGCAGGCUCUCUACGAGGGCUUGUAAUUGGAAUGAGUACAGCGUAAAUAACUUAACGAGGAACAAUUGGAGGACAAGUCUGGUGCCAGCACCCGCGGUAAUUCCAGCUCCAAUAGCGUAUAUUAAAGUUGUUGCAGUUAAAAAGCUCGUAGUUGGAUCUUGAAGUUCUUUCUUGUACCGUCUCUGCCGGAAGGUAGAGGCGUAUAGGAAUCCUUCUAACUCUCGGAGGUGGCCUUCUGCUCUUAACUGGGUGGUUGGUUGCGCCGAGACGUUUACCUUGAAAAAAUUAGAGUGUUCAAAGCAGGCUACUAGCUAGCCCUGAAUAGAUUAGCAUGGGAUAAUGGAAUACGACGUUGUUCGGUUUCGUUGGUUUACGGACGGCGUAAUGAUCAAUAGGACUGAUCGGGGUUAUUCAUAUUUAAUUGUCAGAGGUGAAAUUCUUAGAUUCUUUAAAGAUGAACGAGGGCGAAAGCAUCUAACAAGGGUGCUUCCAUUGAUCAAGAACGAAAGUUAAGGGAUCGAAGACGAUCAGAUACCGUCGUAGUCUUAACCUUAAACUAUGCGGACCAAUAAUCGGGUCUCGUUAUUCGUACGACCCUCUCGGCGAUUUGUGGGAAACCACGAGUCUUUGCGUUCUGGGGGGAGUAUGGUCGCAAGGCUGAAACUUAAAGGAAUUGACGGAAGGGCACACCAGGAGUGGAGCCUGCGGCUUAAUUUGACUCAACACGGGGAAACUCACUAGGUCAAGACAUAGCAAGGAUUGACAGAUUGAUAGUUCUUUCUUAAUUUCUAUGGGUGGUGGUGCAUGGCCGUUCUUAGUUGGUGGAGUGAUUUGUCUGGUUAAUUCCGAUAACGAACGAGACCACAUCCUGUUAAAUAGUAGCGCCGAUCUUCUAAACGGGUGAAGCGAUUUGACUUCGUUUGUCCGGGAAACUGGGUGGGCGGAUUGGAUCGUGGAUCCUUGAUGCAUCGUGCGCAUUAAUAAUUUACUUCUUAAAGGGACUAUUC